rnacentral:tRNA from 1 species
ACCCUGGUAGCAUAGUGGUUAAGUGUUAUGGCUGCUAACCAAAAGGUUGGAAGUUCGAAUCUUCCCGGGGCUC